GUGCUUGCUAUGGCAGCACAUAUACUAAAAUUGGAACCAUACAGAGAAGAUUAGCAUGGCCCCUGCAAAAAGAAAAAAAAAAAAAACACCGGUUAUUACAGCUUGGU
rnacentral:snRNA from 1 species